rnacentral:rRNA from 1 species
GACGAACGCUGGCGGCGUGCCUAAUACAUGCAAGUAGAACGCUGAAGGAGGGGCUUGCUUCUCCGGAUGAGUUGCGAACGGGUGAGUAACGCGUAGGUAACCUGCCUGGUAGCGGGGGAUAACUAUUGGCAACGAUAGCUAAUACCGCAUAAGAGUAGAUGUCGCAUGAUAUUUGCUUAAAAGGUGCAACUGCACCACUACCAGAUGGACCUGAGUUGUAUUAGCUAGUUGGUGAGGUAACGGCUCACCAAGGCAACGAUACAUAGCCGACCUGAGAGGCGGAGCGGCCAAGCUGGGACGGGAGCACGACCCAGACUCCUGCGAGAGGGAGCAGUAGGGAAUCCUCAGCAGUGGACGGAGUGGUGACCAAUCAACGCCGCGUGAGUGAAGAAGGUAUUCAUGUCGCAUAGCUCAGGUGUAAGUGAAGGACGUGUAGGAGUGUUGACAGUUCUCACAGUGACAGUAUCUGACGAGAAAGGGACGGCUAACUACGUG